GAGUUUGAUCCUGGCUCAGGAUGAACGCUGGCGGCGUGCCUAACACAUGCAAGUCGAACGGGAAACAUUUUAUUGAAGCUUCGGCAGAUUUAGCUUGUUUCUAGUGGCGGACGGGUGAGUAACGCGUGGGUAACCUGCCCUGUACACACGGAUAACAUACCGAAAGGUAUGCUAAUACGAGAUAAUAUACUUUUAUCGCAUGGUAGAAGUAUCAAAGCUUUUGCGGUACAGGAUGGACCCGCGUCUGAUUAGCUAGUUGGUAAGGUAACGGCUUACCAAGGCGACGAUCAGUAGCCGACCUGAGAGGGUGAUCGGCCACAUUGGAACUGAGACACGGUCCAAACUCCUACGGGAGGCAGCAGUGGGGAAUAUUGCACAAUGGGCGAAAGCCUGAUGCAGCAACGCCGCGUGAGCGAUGAAGGCCUUCGGGUCGUAAAGCUCUGUCCUCAAGGAAGAUAAUGACGGUACUUGAGGAGGAAGCCCCGGCUAACUACGUGCCAGCCGCCGCGGUAAUUC
rnacentral:rRNA from 1 species